rnacentral:rRNA from 1 species
AAUCAACGCUGGCGGCGUGCCUAACACAUGCAAGUCGCACGAGAAAGGGACUUCGGUCCUGAGUACAGUGGCGCACGGGUGAGUAACACGUGAAUCAUCUACCUUCGAGUGGGGAAUAACUGAGAGAAAUCUUAGCUAAUACCGCAUAAUACCUACGGGUCAAAGCAGCAAUGCGCUUGAAGAGGAGUUCGCGGCAGAUUAGUUAGUUGGCGGGGUAAU